rnacentral:rRNA from 1 species
CCCUCCCUCUGGCGGCAGGCCUAACACAUGCAAGUCGAGCGCGCCCUUCGGGGUGAGCAGCGGACGGGUGAGUAACGCGUGGGAACGUGCCCUUUUCUACGGAAUAGCCUCGGGAAACUGAGAGUAAUACCGUAUACGCCCUUUGGGGGAAAGAUUUAUCGGAAAAGGAUCGGCCCGCGUUGGAUUAGGUAGUUGGUGGGGUAAUGGCCUACCAAGCCGACGAUCCAUAGCUGGUUUGAGAGGAUGGUCAGCCACACUGGGACUGAGACACGGCCCAGACUCCUACGGGAGGCAGCAGUGGGGAAUCUUAGACAAUGGGGGCAACCCUGAUCUAGCCAUGCCGCGUGAGUGAUGAAGGCCUUAGGGUUGUAAAGCUCUUUCAGCUGGGAAGAUAAUGACGGUACCAGCAGAAGAAGCCCCGGCUAACUCCGUG